rnacentral:tRNA from 2 species
GGGCCUUUAGCUCAGUUGGUUAGAGCGCUGUGCUGAUAACGCAGAGGUGCGUGGUUCGAUUCCACGAAGGCCCA